AUCGCUUCUCGGCCUUUUGGCUAAGAUCAAGUGUAGUAUCUGUUCUUAUCAGAACAAAGGGAGAAGAGACGCAUGGUGGGGCUGCAAAAACGACUACAGAGAUAUUUUAACCUUUUAAACGCUGGUUUUGAUUUUAGUGACGAAAUUAAAGAGGUCAAAAAUGAAAUGUCAGUUUUAAAUAAUAUUA